rnacentral:rRNA from 1 species
UACAGAGGGUGCGAGCGUUAAUCGGAAUUACUGGGCGUAAAGCGCACGUAGGCGGCUUGGUAUGUCGGGUGUGAAAUCCCCGGGCUCAACCUGGGAACUGCAUCCGAAACUGUCUUGCUAGAGUAUGGGAGAGGGAAGUGGAAUUUCCGGUGUAGCGGUGAAAUGCGUAGAUAUCGAGAGGAACACCUGCGGCGAAGGCGGGUUGCUGGGCUGACACUGACGCUGAUGUGCGAAAGCUAGGGGAGCGAACGGG